rnacentral:rRNA from 1 species
AUGAAUGCUGGCGGCGUGCCUAAUACAUGCAAGUCGAGCGGUAACAGGGGGUCUCACCGUUUCCUUGACACACCUAGCGCAUUAUCGUAGGUUGAUGACUUCGAGGGAACCGUGAGAUCCUGCUGACGAGCGGCGGACGGCUGAGUAACGCGUGGGAACGGACCCCAAACUGAGGGAUAACUACUCGAAAGAGUAGCUAAUACCGCAUAUGAUCUCGGAUAAAGCUUCGAGCGUUUGGGACUGGCCUGCGUACGAUUAGAUAGUUGGCGGGGUAAGAGCCCACCAAGUCGACGAUCGUUAGAUGGUUUGAGAAGAUGAUCAUCCAGACUGGGACUGAGACACGGCCCAGACUCCUACGGGAGGCAGCAGUAGGGAAUCUUUCACAAUGGGCGAAAGCCCUGAUGGAGCAACGCCGCGUGCAGGAUGACGGCCUUCGGGUUGUAAACCGCUUUUAUAACCGAGAAAUAUGAUGGUAAGUUAUGAAUAAGGACCGGCUAACUACGUGCCAGCAGCCGC